ACGGGUGAGUAACACGUGAGCAACCUGCCCUGGACUCUGGGAUAAGCGCUGGAAACGGCGUCUAAUACUGGAUAUGAGCCCCUAUCGCAUGGUGGGGGUUGGAAAGAUUUUUUGGUCUGGGAUGGGCUCGCGGCCUAUCAGCUUGUUGGUGAGGUAAUGGCUCACCAAGGCGUCGACGGGUAGCCGGCCUGAGAGGGUGACCGGCCACACUGGGACUGAGACACGGCCCAGACUCCUACGGGAGGCAGCAGUGGGGAAUAUUGCACAAUGGGCGAAAGCCUGAUGCAGCAACGCCGCGUGAGGGAUGACGGCCUUCGGGUUGUAAACCUCUUUUAGCAGGGAAGAAGCGAAAGUGACGGUACCUGCAGAAAAAGCGCCGGCUAACUACGUGCCAGCAGCCGCGGUAAUACGUAGGGCGCAAGCGUUAUCCGGAAUUAUUGGGCGUAAAGAGCUCGUAGCGGUUUGUCGCGUCUGCUGUGAAAUCCCGAGGCUCAACCUCGGGCCUGCAGUGGGUACGGGCAGACUAGAGUGCGGUAGGG
rnacentral:rRNA from 1 species